rnacentral:lncRNA from 1 species
AUAAAGAUGGAAUGACUUCUAAUUUUUAGGUCCGUAUGAUUUGAAAUACUUGCACACAAACCACGCAAAACCGUUCCUAGAAAUCUCGGUCGAAAAAAGGACGUUUAGUAAUUCUAAAAGGGACUACAGGAUGAAAAACAAUAGUUUUGGCAGUUAAAGUUUGAGAUUCGAUGGUGCCGUAGAUCCGUUUGGUCAUCAGGUGUUACGAGCCACACCCAUGUCUAGCUAGAGUAGUGUGCUAGGUUCAGACUAGAGAAGAAACGGGGAACAAAGUGAUUAAAGAAUGAUCAUACCGAGGGAAUUCACUCAGAACUAACAAGAAUGAUAACGUGCUCCGACUGGAGCGGUUUAGGAACUGCUGGAAGGCUCUAGGGGAAUAAAGAUGGAAUGACUUCUAAUUUUUACGUCCGUAUGAUUUGAAAUACAUGCACACAAACCACGCAAAAGCGUUCCUGGAAAUCUCAGCCUAAAAAAGGACGUUUAGUAAUUCUAAAAGGGACUACAGGAUGAAAAAUAAUAGUUUGGGCAGUUAAAAUUUGAGAUUCGACGCUGCCGUAGAUCCGUUUGGUCAUCAGGUCUUACGAGCCACACCCAUGUCUAGCUAGAAUAGUGUGUUAGGCUCAGGCUAGAGAAGAAACGGGGAACAAACUGAUGAAAGAAUGAUCAUACCGAGGGAAUUCACUCAGAACUAACAAGAAUGAUAACGUGCUCCGACUGGAGCAGUUUAGAAACUCCUGGAAGGCUCUAGGGGAAUAAAGAUGGAAUGACUUCAAAGUUUUAGGUCCGUAUGAUUUGAAAUACUUGCACACAAACCGCGUGAAAGCGUUCCUGGAAAUCUCAACCCAAAAAAGGGCGUUUAGUAAUUCUAAAAGGGACUACAGGAUGUAAAACAAUAGUUUUGGCAGUUAAAGUUUGAGAUUCGAUGGUGCCGUAGAUCCGUUUGGUCAUCAGGUGUAACGAGCCACACCCAUGUCUAGCUAGAGUAGUGUGCUAGGCUCAGACUAGAGAAGAAACGGGGAACAAAGUGAUGAAAGAAUGAUCAUACCGAGGGAAUUCACUCAUAACUAACAAGAAUGAUAACGUGCUCUGACUUGAGCGGUUUAGGAACUGCUGGAAGGCUAUAGGGGAAUAAAGAUGGAAUGACUUCAAAUUUUUAGGUCCGUAUGAUCUGAAAUACUUGCACACAAACCGCGAGAAAGCGUUCCUGGAAAUCUCAACCCAAAAAAGGACGUUUAGUAAUUCUAAAAGGGACUACAGGAUGAAAAACAAUAGUUCUGGCAGUUAUUGUUUGAGAUUCGAUAAUCUCGUAGAUCCGUUUGGUCAUCAGGUGUAACGAGCCACACCCAUGUCUAGCUAGAGUAGUGUGCUAGGCUCAGACUAGAGAAGAAACGGGGAACAAACUGAUGAAAGAAUGAUCAUACCGAGGGAAUUCACUUAGAACUAACAAGAAUGAUAACGUGCUCCGACUGGAGCGGUUUAGGAACUGCUGGAAGGCUCUAGGGGAAUAAAGAAGGAACGACUUCUAAUUUUUAGGUCCGUAUGAUUUGAAAUAUGUGCACACAAACCACGAGAAAGCGUUCCUAGAAAUCUCGGCCCAAAAGAGGACGUUUAGUAUUCUAAAAGGGACUACAGAAUGAAAAACAAUAGUUUUGGCAGUUAAAGUUUGAGAUUUGACGGUGCCGUAGAUCUGUUUGGUCAUCAGGGGUUACGAGCCACACCCAUGUCUAGCUAGAAUAGUGUGUUAGGCUCAGGCUAGAAAAGAAACGGGGAACAAAGUGAUGAAAGAAUGAUCAUACCGAGGGAAUUCACUCAGAACUAACAAGAAUGAUAACAUGCUCCGACUGGAGCGGUUUAGGAACUGCUGGAAGGCUCUAGGGGAAUAAAGAUGGAAUGACUUCUAAUUUUUAGGUCCGUAUGAUUUGAAAUACUUGCACACAAACCGCGCGAAAGCGUUCCUGGAAAUCUCAGCCCAAAAAAGGACGUUUAGUAAUUCUAAAAGGGACUACAGGAUGAAAAACAAUAGUUUUGGCAGUUAAAGUAUGAGAUUCAACGGUGCCGUAGAUCCGUUUGGUCAUUAGGUGUUACGAGCCACACCCAUGUCUAGCUAGAAUAGUGUGCUAGGCUCAGGCUAGAGAAGAAACGGGGAACAAACUGAUGAAAGAAUGAUCAAACCGAGGGAAUUCACUCAGAACUAACAAUAAUGAUAACGUGCUCCGACUGGAGCGGUUUAGGAACUGCUGGAAGUCUCUAGGGGAAUAAAGAUGGAAUGACUUCUAAUUUUUACGUUCGUAUGAUUUGAAAAACUUGCCCAUAAACCGCGCGAAAGUGUUCCUGGAAAUCUCAGCCCAAAAAAGGACGUUUAGUAAUUUUAAAAGGGACUACACGAUGAAAAACAAUAGUUUUGGCAGGUAAAGUUUGAGAUUCGACAGUGCCGUAGAUCCGUUUGGUCAUCAGGUGUUACGAGCCACACCCAUGUCUAGCUAGAAUAGUAUGUUACGCUCAGGUUAGAGAAGAAACGGGGAACAAACUGAUGAAAGAUGAUCAUACCAAGGGAAUUCACUCAGAACUAACAAGAAUGAUAACGUGCUCCGACUGGAGCGGUUUAGGAACUGCUGGAAGGCUCUAGGGGAAUAAAGAUGGAAUGACUUCUAAUUUUUACGUCUGUAUGAUUUGAAAUACUUGCACACAAACAACGCAAAAGCAUUCCUGGAAAUCUCAUCCUAAAAAAGGACGUUUAGUAAUUCUAAAAGGGACUACAGGAUGAAAAAUAAUAGUUUGGGAAGUUAAAAUUUGAGAUUCGAUAGUGCCGUAGAUCCGUUUGGUCAUCAGGUGUUAGGAGCCACACCCAUGUCUAGCUAGAAUAGUGUGUUAGGCUCAGGCUAGAGAAGAAACAGGGAACAAACUGAUGAAAGAAUGAUCAUACCGAGGGAAUUCACUCAGAACUAGCAAGAAUGAUAACGUGCUCCGACUGGAGCAGUUUUGAAACUGCUGGAAGGCUCUAGGGGAAUAAUGAUGGAAUGACUUCUAAGUUUUUGGUCCGUAUGAUUUGAAAUACGUGCACACAAACCCAGAGAAAGUGUUCUUGGAAAUCUCGGCCGAAAAAAGGAUGUUUAAUAAUUCUAAAAGGGACUACAGGAUGAAAAACAAUAGUUUUGGCAGUUAAAGUUUGUGAUUCGAUGGUGCUGUAGAUCUGUUUGGUCAUCAGGUGUUAUGAGCCACACCCAUGUCUAGCUAGAACAGUGUGUUAGGCUCAGGCUAGAGCAGAAACGGGGAACA